rnacentral:rRNA from 1 species
ACACUCCUGCGGGAGGCAGCAGUGGGGAAUUUUGGACAAUGGGCGAAAGCCUGAUCCAGCAAUGCCGCGUGAGUGAAGAAGGCCUUCGGGUUGUAAAGCUCUUUUGUCAGGGAAGAAACGGUGAAAGCUAAUAUCUUUUGCUAAUGACGGUACCUGAAGAAUAAGCACCGGCUAACUACGUGCCAGCAGCCGCGGUAAUACGUAGGGUGCAAGCGUUAAUCGGAAUUACUGGGCGUAAAGCGUGCGCAGGCGGUUUUGUAAGUCUGAUGUGAAAUCCCCGGGCUCAACCUGGGAAUGACAUUGGAGACUGCAAGGCUAGAAUCUGGCAGAGGGGGGUAGAAUUCCACGUGUAGCAGUGAAAUGCGUAGAUAUGUGGAGGAACACCGAUGGCGAAAGCAGCCCCCUGGGUCAAGAUUGACGCUCAUGCACGAAAGCGUGGGGAGCAAACAGGAUUAGAUACCCGUGUAGUCCCAUGAU